rnacentral:rRNA from 1 species
AUUGAACGCUGGCGGCAUGCCUUACACAUGCAAGUCGAACGGCAGCACGGGAGCAAUCCUGGUGGCGAGUGGCGAACGGGUGAGUAAUAUAUCGGAACGUGCCCAGUCGUGGGGGAUAACGUAGCGAAAGCUACGCUAAUACCGCAUACGAUCUGUGGAUGAAAGCGGGGGAUCGCAAGACCUCGCGCGAUUGGAGCGGCCGAUAUCAGAUUAGGUUGUUGGUGGGGUAAAAGCCCACCAAGCCGACGAUCUGUAGCUGGUCUGAGAGGACGACCAGCCACACUGGGACUGAGACACGGCCCAGACUCCUACGGGAGGCAGCAGUGGGGAAUUUUGGACAAUGGGCGCAAGCCUGAUCCAGC